UACGUAGGGGGCAAGCGUUGUCCGGAUUUAUUGGGCGUAAAGAGCGUGUAGGCGGCCUGGAAGGUCAGCUGUGAAAACUCGAGGCUCAACCUCGAGACGUCGGUUGAAACCACCUGGCUAGAGUCCGGAAGAGGAGAGUGGAAUUCCCGGUGUAGCGGUGAAAUGCGCAGAUAUCGGGAAGAACACCCGUGGCUAAGGCGGCUCUCUAGUACGGUACUGACGCUGAGACGCGAAAGCGUGGGGAGCAAACAGG
rnacentral:rRNA from 1 species